rnacentral:lncRNA from 1 species
GUCUUUAGACGCAGUCUGCCUUCCUUCCCAAUUUAACAGUGCCACAAUUCCUGUGUCACCUGGGAUUUUCCUCCUCAACCAGGUGAAGGAAAAUGGAAGCUGGAAAACCUGCCCUUUCCCAUCUUCUGAGCUUGGAGGCAAGCACAGAGGCUCUUUUCUCUUUAAAAGGUUUUACUCCUUGUCAUUUGGAAAAUAGACAAGGGGAAAUUAUAAAAGCUUCAGAAAACUUGUUAAUAUCCUGGACAUUUCUUGCCAAGGCUUCUUCCUAUACAUAUACACAAAAAUAUGUUUUAUGGAAAUGGGAAUUACAGGUUUUCCCCUGUGAAUUGCAGGAAACUUGCUCUAAAGAAAAAUUGCUGGAUUAAGGGAUGUGAAUAUUUUAGCAGUGCUUGACACUUAGCCAAAUUGCCUUCCAGAAGUGAUGAAACAACUUACCCUCCCACAGGCAGCUCAUGAAACCUCCUGUCUCACCAAACUAGGUAUUGGAAUUCUAAAAAGAAAAUAAAGCUGUUUGCCAAUUUGAGAGUCUCUGUUGAUUUACUUGGGCAUUUCUCACCUUCCUGUCAGAGGGCCAGGUGGGAGCUCCUGGUUAGGAGGAAGGAGGGGCCUUAGGCACCAGGCCUAGGGAGGGCAGCCAGGAGCUAUAGUGGGAGGAGGCACAAGGCAUUUCCAAGACCACAGCUGAGCAGGAGAAUGAGCACUCCUCUGUAUCCAAAAGAAUUGAGAGAGCUGGCCCAGGGGUGGGGGUGAG